rnacentral:lncRNA from 10 species
GCCGAGAUCAUGCCAUUGCACUCCCGCUUAGGCAACAAGAGUAAAACUCUGUCUCAAAAAAAAUAAAUAAAUAAAAUAAAUAAAUAAAUAGGACCUCAUCAAAUUUUAAAACAUUCGCUCUGUGAAAGACUCUAUUAGGAAGAUGAAAAGACAAGCUAUAGACUGAGAGAAAUUAUUUGCAAACCACGCAUUCAACAAAUGACUAAUAUCUAGAAUACAUAAAGAACUCUCUCAAGACUCCAGAGUAAAUAAUAAUAAUAAACCCAAUUAGAAAAUAUACAAAAGACAUGAACAGACAUUUCAUUGAAGAGAUAAUACAGGUGACAGAUAAAUACAUAAAAGAUGUUCAACAACAUUAGCCAUUAGAGAAAUGCAAACUAGAGGCCAGGUGCAGUGGCUCACGCCUGUAACCCCACCACUUUGAGAGGCCAAGGCAGGUGGAUCACUUGAGGCCAGGAGUUGGAGACCAGCCUGGCCAACAUGGUGAAGCCCCAUCUCUACUAAAAAUACGAAAAUUAGCUGGGCGUGGUGGCACGCACCUCUAAUCCCAGCUACUCGGGAAGCUGAGGCAGGAGAAUCGCUUCAACCCAGGAGGCAGAGGUUGCAGUGAGCCAAGAUCGUGCCACUGCACUCCAGCCUGGGUGACAGAGUAAGACUCCAUCUCAAAAAAAUAAAAAAGAAAUGCAAACUAGAACCACAAUGAAGUAUCACUACACAUCGAACAGAAUGGCUAAAAUAAAAACUAAUGACAACACCAAAUGCUGGUGAGGAUGCAAAGAAACUGUAUCACUCAUACAUUGUCGGUGAAAAUGUAAAAUGGUAUACCUACUGUCCAUUUGUAUUAUUAUAAAGGAAUACCUGAGGCUAGGUAAUUUAUAAAGAAAAGAGAUUUAUUUGGUUCAUGCUUCUGCAGGCUGUACAAGAAGCAUGACACCAACAUCUAAUUCUGAUGAGGGCAUCAAGCAGCUUCUACCCAUGGUGGGAGGCAAAAGGGAGCCAGCAUGUACAGAAAUCACAUGGCAAGUGAGUAAGCAACAGAGAGGGGAGGUGCCAGACAAUCAGCUCUUGACAAUCAGCUCUCCUAGGGACUAACAGAAUAAGAACUCAUUCAGCAGCCCCCAAAAGGGGGAGAUUUAAGCUAUUUAUGAGGGAACUGCUCCCAUGACCCAAACACCUCUCAUUAGGCACCACCUCCAACACUGGGGAUCAAAUUUCAACAUGAUGUUUUGGAGAACAAACAUCCAAAUGACAGCACCUACUCUGGAAAACAGUUUGGCAGUUUCUUCAAUCAAUAAAUAUAAAGCUACUCCUACAUAACUCAGAAAUUCCACUCUUGGGCACUUAUCCCAGAGAAACUAAAACAUGUUCAUACCAAAAUCUGCACCAAAAAAAAUGUUCAUCCUAGCUUUAUUGAUAACAGUAAAAAAUUGGAAUCAGCCUUAAUGUCCUUCAACAGAUGAAUGGUUAAGCUAACUUGUACAUCUAUACCAUGGAAUAAUAUUCAGUAAGAAAAAGGAACAAACUAUUGUUUGUUGCAACAACCUGGACGAAUCUCCAAAGAAUUACUCUAACUAUAAAAAUCCUAUCACAAAAGAUUACUAUAUGACUCUAGUAAUAUAACAUUCUUGAAAUGACAAAAUAAUUAAAAUGCAUAGUAGAUUAGUAGUUGCUAGGGUUUAAAGAGGGCGUAAUGACAGCAAAGAAGUGGGUGGCUAUAAAAGGGCAACAUUGAUGGGGCACAGUGGCUCAUGCCUGUGAUCCCAACACUGUGAGAGUCCGAGGCAAGAGGAUCACUUGAGGCCAGGAGUUUGAGACCAGUCUAAGCAACAGCAAGACCCCAUCUCUACAAAAAAUAAUUUAAAAAUUUUAGCCAGGUGUGGUGGCAUGCACCUGUAGUCCCAGCUACUCCAGAGGCUGAGGUGGGAGGAUCACUUGAGCCCAGGAGUUCAAGGCUGCAGUGAGCCAAGAGAGCGCCUCAGCACUUCAGCCUCGGUUACAGAGUGAAAUCCUGUCUCUAAAAUAAAAUUAAAAUGUUUUGUAUUUUGACUUUAUCAAUAUCAAUAUUCUGUUAGUUAUAUGGUAUUAUAGUUUUACAAGAUGUUACCAUUGGGGGAAACUGGGUAAAGCUUACAUGGAAUUUCUCAGUAUUGUUUUGUACAACUGCAUCUAAAAAUUAAAAGUUUAGGCCAGACCAUCAGAGAAAUGCAAAUCAAAACCACAAUGAGAUACCAUCUCACACCAGUUAGAAUGGCAAUCAUUAAAAAGUCAGGAAACAACAGGUGCUGGAGAGGAUGUGGAGAAGUAGGAACACUUUUACACUGUUGGUGGGACUGGAAACUAGUUCAACCACACUGGAAGUCACUGUGGCGACUCCUCAGGGAUCUA